AUUGAACGCUGGCGGCAGGCCUAACACAUGCAAGUCGAACGGUAACAGGAAGCAGCUUGCUGCUUCGCUGACGAGUGGCGGACGGGUGAGUAAUGUCUGGGAAGCUGCCUGAUGGAGGGGGAUAACUACUGGAAACGGUAGCUAAUACCGCAUAAUGUCGCAAGACCAAAGAGGGGGACCUUCGGGCCUCUUGCCAUCGGAUGUGUCCAGAUGGGAUUAGCUUGUUGGUGGGGUAACGGCUCACCAAGGCGACGAUCCCUAGCUGGUCUGAGAGGAUGACCAGCCACACUGGAACUGAGACACGGUCCAGACUCCUACGGGAGGCAGCAGUGGGGAAUAUUGCACAAUGGGCGCAAGCCUGAUGCAGCCAUGCCGCGUGUAUGAAGAAGGCCUUCGGGUUGUAAAGUACUUUCAGCGGGGAGGAAGGGAGUAAAGUUAAUACCUUUGCUCAUUGACGUUACCCGCAGAAGAAGCACCGGCUAACUCCGUG
rnacentral:rRNA from 1 species